GGAUUUCCCUCCUCUGUUUUGAAUUGGGCAAUAAAAUUUCCAAGUUUGUUUAAUGCCAUGGAUUUCGUGACUGAUAUAAAUGACCAAGUCGUCAGGGGGCAUUUAUAACAAUUUAAUUUAAUUGGUGAAAAUUGGAUAUCUAUUUCUUAUCUGAGCAGGAAUUCAAUUGCAGCUGGCCGGGAAUGAUGGACAGCACAAGGAGUUGGACAAGAAAACCCACCUCGUACUCGCUGUUGCUUGCAUUGUCAUGGCUGUCAUUAUCCUUCUCUUUGCAUCUGCUUGUUUCAUUUUUUACUGCAAGCUCCUCCACAAGAGAAGAAGAAGAAACACCAAAAACCCAGGUAAAUCACCACAUCUUCCUCCUCAUUAUUGACAAAUGGUUUACUUUCUUUCUUUCUUUUCUUUGGCGUCCUAACUGUUAGUAUGUAUGGUGUAUGAAGAUGUAGAGAAAGGGAUAUUAUUGUUCAGCAAAUUCAGUUCCUUGAGGAGGAUGCCUAGCAGCAAGAAAUCUGUUCCAUUAAUCGACUACAAGGCGCUAGAGAAAGGCACUGAGAAUUUCAUGGAGGAGAAUCUGUUGGGCAGGGGUGGAUUUGGGCUUGUUUACAAAGCUACUAUGGAUGACAACUCUGUAGUCGCCGUUAAGAAACUGGAUUGCGGGACUCAAGAUGCCAAACGAGAAUUUCUCUUGUUCUUUCUGUGUUGUUAUUUAUCAACAGUUGCUGUGUAUAUUGCAGAAUGAGGUGGGCUUGUUGUGCAAAUUUCAGCACCCAAACAUCAUUUCCAUGGUUGGUUAUGGCGUUCAUGAGAACAUGGGAUUCAUUGUCUACGAAUUGAUGCCUAAUGGCUCACUCGAAGAUCUUCUUCAUGGUAAAAAGAUCCUUCCUUUUGUUAUGGUUAGUAAAAAGAUGGCUAAUGGGUUAUUGUUAUGGUUUUUAGGGGNNNNNNNNUUCAGCUGGGUUUUUGGUGGAUUCUGGUGGUGGGUCGAGUCGAGAGCGUAUCUCUAUUUCUCCAUCUCCCCGUAUGAGUCAAGCUGCUAGAAGAAAGAAAGCAAUAACAGUCCCACAAUGAAGCAACCGUCAUUGUCUUCUCUUCUUUCUCCGGUUCCCCAGCCUGCUCUAUCUACUACUUCCAUGGCUGCUUUCUCUCCAGGUUCAGUUUUUGCCUAUCUUUUUGAAAUUGCGGGAUUUCCCUCCUCUGUUUUGAAUUGGGCAAUAAAAUUUCCAAGUUUGUUUAAUGCCAUGGAUUUCGUGACUGAUAUAAAUGACCAAGUCGUCAGGGGGCAUUUAUAACAAUUUAAUUUAAUUGGUGAAAAUUGGAUAUCUAUUUCUUAUCUGAGCAGGAAUUCAAUUGCAGCUGGCCGGGAAUGAUGGACAGCACAAGGAGUUGGACAAGAAAACCCACCUCGUACUCGCUGUUGCUUGCAUUGUCAUGGCUGUCAUUAUCCUUCUCUUUGCAUCUGCUUGUUUCAUUUUUUACUGCAAGCUCCUCCACAAGAGAAGAAGAAGAAACACCAAAAACCCAGG
rnacentral:lncRNA from 1 species